rnacentral:rRNA from 1 species
CGGUGGAGCAUGUGGUUUAAUUCGAAGCAACGCGAAGAACCUUACCAGGCCUUGACAUGCAGAGAACUUUCCAGAGAUGGAUUGGUGCCUUCGGGAACUCUGACACAGGUGCUGCAUGGCUGUCGUCAGCUCGUGUCGUGAGAUGUUGGGUUAAGUCCCGUAACGAGCGCAACCCUACCUUUAGUUGCCAUCAGGUAAUGCUGGGGACUCUAAAGGAACUGCCUACGCAAGUAGUGAGGAAGGCGGGGAUGACGUCAAAUCAGCACGGCCCUUACGUCCAGGGCUACACACGUGCUACAAUGGCCGAUACAGAGGGCAGCUACCUGGUGACAGGAUGCAAAUCUCCAAAGUCGGUCUCAGUUCGGAUCGGAGUCUGCAACCCGACUCCGUGAAGUUGGAUUCGCUAGUAAUCGCGCAUCAGCCAUGGCGCGGUGAAUACGUUCCCGGGCCUU